AGUGAACGCUGGCGGCAGGCCUAACACAUGCAAGUCGAGCGGCAGCGCGGGGGCAACCCUGGCGGCGAGCGGCGGACGGGUGAGGAAUGCGUCGGAAUCUGCCUCUUUGUGGGGGAUAACGUAGGGAAACUUACGCUAAUACCGCAUACGACCUACGGGUGAAAGUGGGGGACCUUCGGGCCUCACGCAGAGAGAUGAGCCGACGCCGGAUUAGCUAGUUGGCGGGGUAAAGGCCCACCAAGGCGACGAUCCGUAGCUGGUCUGAGAGGAUGAUCAGCCACACUGGAACUGAGACACGGUCCAGACUCCUACGGGAGGCAGCAGUGGGGAAUAUUGGACAAUGGGCGCAAGCCUGAUCCAGCCAUGCCGCGUGUGUGAAGAAGGCCUUCGGGUUGUAAAGCACUUUUGUCCGGAAAGAAAGGCAUUCGGUUAAUAACCGGGUGUCAUGACGGUACCGGAAGAAUAAGCACCGGCUAACUUCGUGCCAGCCGCCGCCGUAAGAC
rnacentral:rRNA from 1 species